UGCGGGCCCCGUGGCUGGCUCUGAGGCUC
rnacentral:sRNA from 1 species